GACGAACGCUGGCGGCGUGCCUAAUACAUGCAAGUAGAACGCUGAAGGAGGAGCUUGCUUCUCUGGAUGAGUUGCGAACGGGUGAGUAACGCGUAGGUAACCUGCCUGGUAGCGGGGGAUAACUAUUGGAAACGAUAGCUAAUACCGCAUAAUAGCAGUUGUUGCAUGACAACUGUUUGAAAGGUGCAAUUGCACCACUACCAGAUGGACCUGCGUUGUAUUAGCUAGUUGGUGGGGUAACGGCUCACCAAGGCGACGAUACAUAGCCGACCUGAGAGGGUGAUCGGCCACACUGGGACUGAGACACGGCCCAGACUCCUACGGGAGGCAGCAGUAGGGAAUCUUCGGCAAUGGACGGAAGUCUGACCGAGCAACGCCGCGUGAGUGAAGAAGGUUUUCGGAUCGUAAAGCUCUGUUGUAAGAGAAGAACGAGUGUGAGAGUGGAAAGUUCACACUGUGACGGUAUCUUACCAGAAAGGGACGGCUAACUACGUGCCAGCAGCCGCGGUAAUACGUAGGUCCCGAGCGUUGUCCGGAUUUAUUGGGCGUAAAGCGAGCGCAGGCGGUUAGAUAAGUCUGAAGUUAAAGGCUGUGGCUUAACCAUAGUACGCUUUGGAAACUGUUUAACUUGAGUGCAAGAGGGGAGAGUGGAAUUCCAUGUGUAGCGGUGAAAUGCGUAGAUAUAUGGAGGAACACCGGUGGCGAAAGCGGCUCUCUGGC
rnacentral:rRNA from 1 species